rnacentral:rRNA from 1 species
GAUGAAUGCUGGCGGCGUGCUUAACACAUGCAAGUCGAGCGGAAAGGCCCUUCGGGGUACUCGAGCGGCGGACGGCUGAGUAACGCGUGGGAACAUGCCCCAAAGUGAGGAAUAACUGCCCGAAAGGGUGGCUAAUGCCGCUUAUGAUCUUCGGAUUAAAGGAUUUAUCCGCUUUGGGAGUGGCCUGCGUAUGAUUAGGUAGUUGGUGAGGUAAUGGCUCACCAAGCCGACGAUCAUUAGCUGGUCUGAGAGGAUGACCAGCCAGACUGGAACUGAGACACGGUCCAGACUCCUACGGGAGGCAGCAGUGAGGAAUAUUCCACAAUGGGCGAAAGCCUGAUGGAGCAACGCCGCGUGAAGGAUGAAGGCCCCCGGGUUGUAAACUUCUUUUAUAAGUGAAGAAUAUGACGGUAACUUAUGAAUAAGCACCGGCUAACUACGUGCCAGCCGCCGCAGUAAUAC